rnacentral:rRNA from 1 species
AGUGAACGCUGGCGGUAGGCCUAACACAUGCAAGUCGAACGGCAGCACAGUAAGAGCUUGCUCUUACGGGUGGCGAGUGGCGGACGGGUGAGGAAUACAUCGGAAUCUACUUUUUCGUGGGGGAUAACGUAGGGAAACUUACGCUAAUACCGCAUACGACCUACGGGUGAAAGCAGGGGAGCUUCGGACCUUGCGCGAUUGAAUGAGCCGAUGUCGGAUUAGCUAGUUGGCGGGGUAAGGGCCCACCAAGGCGACGAACCGUAGCUGGUCUGAGAGGAUGAUCAGCCACACUGGAACUGAGACACGGUCCAGACUCCUACGGGAGGCAGCAGUGGGGAAUAUUGGACAAUGGGCGCAAGCCUGAUCCAGCCAUACCGCGUGGGUGAAGAAGGCCUUCGGGUUGUAAAGCCCUUUUGUUGGGAAAGAAAAGCAGCAGGUUAAUACCCCGCUGUUCUGACGGUACCCAAAGAAUAAGCACCGGCUAACUUCGUG